GUUAUAUGGUCAAGUGAAGAAGCGCAUACGGUGGAUGCCUUGGCAGUCAGAGGCGAUGAAAGACGUGGUAGCCUGCGAAAAGCUUCGGGGAGUCGGCAAACAGACUUUGAUCCGGAGAUGUCUGAAUGGGGGAACCCAGCCAUCAUAAGAUGGUUAUCUUGUACUGAAUACAUAGGUGCAAGAGGCGAACCAGGGGAACUGAAACAUCUAAGUACCCUGAGGAAAAGAAAUCAACCGAGAUUCCCUUAGUAGUGGCGAGCGAACGGGGAC
rnacentral:rRNA from 1 species